CAAGGUUUCCUCGAACGUUCGGUUACAACGGGCCUCGAGUGUGUGGACAAAUUCCAAGUUGACAACCGUCGGAAUAGAUGGUGACCUCAUGCUUUACUUAACCAACGACACAACGAGACAAUUAGAGUGUAGUUUAGGCCACCGAGAGAAUAAGAUGUGUUUGAAUCGUUUGUAAACGUAAACUCGUAGCGUGGUGGCAACGAACUCGUCUCUCGGUCUCCGCAUGUGAUCACGAAUCACGAUACCGAUUUUUCUCUUUUUUUUCUCCGUCCUAAUUUACAGUCAAUUCUGAUUUAACAUCGUUCCACUGCCCUCUCCUUCCUCAUCCUCAGUUCUCCGCAAGUCUGACUCUUUUCACGAAUCGUCCGUAAUCGGCGUAAUGAAAACCGCGAAAACAUAUUCCGUCCAAUAAAAAAACCUCGCAAGGAAUUUCCAACUUUUUCACCAUCAUCCGUUUGCUUUUUUCACACUCGGUGAGAAAAACAAACUGGCACGAUGACGACGAUGGGUGUCACGGUCUUCUGCAACCGGUUGCAGAUAAACGGGGGCGAUCAGGAACAGCUGAUGCUCUUGCGGACGCUGCAGGACAACGAGACCAACAUUUUGAGUAACCAGCCGCACCUGAUAGUACCAAAGACAACCAGCGCGUCGAGUGCCAGCGUUUUGCCGCCUUACGAUCCGUCGCGGUUGAAAAAGCACGGAAAGAACGGACAACCGCCGCCGGUUGCGGUUGCGCGGAGAAACGCGCGGGAAAGAAACCGCGUCAAGCAAGUCAACAACGGGUUCGCCACCCUCAGGCAGCACAUUCCUGGACACAUUGCCGCCGGCUACGGGGACCGGGGGAAAAAACUGUCCAAGGUUGAGACCCUUCGUAUGGCCGUCGAGUACAUCAGGGGGCUGCAGCGGCUUCUCGCCGAGGCUGACGGGCUGGAGUACGACCCCAACACUGGAAUGGGACAAAACGUACCUUCACCGACCAGCAGCAUCAUCUCCUCGAGCCAUAACGGGUCCGGGGAACGACUCGUCCUCGACGACGAGGCCGACGACGAGGACGUCAAGCCCCCGCCCUGCUUGAGGUUGUCGCCGAUGGUUGAAUCGCCAGGGCCAGAAUUCUACCCAGCGUCGGUCGGAGACGAGGAGAACCUCGAGCCCUUGGACGCGACGAGGGUGCUGACCCAUGGUAACCAGGUGUUUUCUCGUCUCUCGCCGACUCCCGCGCCUUCGCCAUGCGAGUACUACACCCAGAACGAGGAGAACCUCGAACCUCGAGCCCCACUCUCGCCGUAUAGCGGGGGUGACAGCGAGGAGGGUGGUACCGUAUACGCAGCCAGUCCCGAGGUCUUCUCCGGGGCUCUUUAUUACAAACAAGAACUUCCUGGCACCAGCGAUGUGAUGGACGUUGUUAGCUGGUGGGAACAGGAACAGGGGCGACUCAAUCAACACGCGCAGCAUCUGACGCAUGCGUGAAUUAUUUAAUCGAGAUGUCGCGUCGCCGAUCUUACGCCUGGCAGCCAGUUGGGACCCUGCAGGGCACCGUGCAGAAGACAGUUGCGUCAUCUGGUGCCGUCCUCCCCGCGCAGCCCUUGCCAGGAGCGACAGAAGCUAGAUAGCGGAUCUUGAGGCUGUUUAUUCUCCUUACGUCACGUCACUCCUUAAUUCAACAUCUGGGGUCGGACAUUUUUUCAUGACCGAAAUGCGAGAAGGUGCCGGAGAGAAUCCACGAUCUCAAAAAACUUUUUUUCAACAAAAAGCUCUAAAGUUAUAAUUCUAAUUUUCUUUGAAACCAUAGGACGUAUUUUCUAACCACACACAUGACACAAAAGGGUGUUGACAGAAUUACGGCAUGUAAUCACUAUCUCGAAACACGCGCAGAUGGUUAUAAAGUGAAACGAAGCAGACAAAGAAAAAAAAAAUCCUUUUAUCUAUCAUUUAUAUAUUUUAUUUUCAUAUAAGUUCAGUAUUAUAUCCAAAGGCAACGAUAGACGUAAAUAUUCCGUGAUACUUGGAGCUAGUACUUAUCCGUUACUUAGCAUCGUCCAUAAUAACCACCCCAAACGAAUAUAACUAACUGAAAAGUGUAGACUCGUCUGAUUCGUUGAAGAGAAAAAAAAGUUCGUCAACUGCAAAUAUUUUUAUACUUAUACACGCGUUGAGCCCCAUAUUUUAGUAACGUUUAUCGUAGUUAUAACACAUGUUCCAGUUGAUUUGUAAAUAUUCUUAUAAACUCCCAAGUGCCUAUAGUUUACUAGUCUUAUAAGAUGUCAGUGAAAUUGCAAAAUGAUAUUAAAAUUAAGUUAUAAUUAUGUAAGUUAUACACGCAUGUAUGUAACAUAGCAGGCCAUUGUAGGCACGACGAGUACUAGUAGAUUCUACGGAAGAACGAUUAUUCUUUGACAAUAUGCAACGUACAUCUACAUAAUAUAUCGGUAUAAGUAAUUCGCUUUGCAUUCCAAAGGAUGACAGAGGUGUUAAAUAUUUUUGUUCCCGUGCUUUUACUCUCGGAAACACUUUCCGGUCACGAAUGGAACCGCAAAUGUUACGCCAAUGAUAUUUUUUUAAUCGGAUAAUCAACGCAACGAUCACUUCCGGCGAAAUACGAUAAAUCCAAGACCGCAUCAUAUCAUUCAGAAUUGUGUAUUUUGAAAUACGGUAAAAUUAAUUUAAUCAAAAGGGUGUAAAUACAAGUGCCUUAAUUAAAACGAUUAUACCUAAGCUAAGUUUAUACAUUUUACAAGACUAUUUUGUACUUGAUAUUUUUUUACAUUAUCGAAUAUUUAAAAUACAUCCUAAUAUUU
rnacentral:misc_RNA from 1 species